GUCCCAGUAAACCAGCAUGAACAACACCAGGACCCUGGAACUGAAGCAGAGAGAUGUCUCAACGGCUGCGCUCAUUAAUUCAUGAAUGUGCUGCCGAUGAAGACGCUCACUGUAACUGCUGUGGAGGGGCUGCAGGGAUCCACAGCGAACACAGAGUGGAUUUUGGAGUCAUGCAAAACCAAAAUAACCGGAUUACUACCAUCAACUUGACAGUCUCUACCAGACAUCAUCUGAAAA